rnacentral:lncRNA from 1 species
GUUUCUUGGGGAAACUGUUGUGCUGGCAUUGCUUUCCAAUGAUCUGCCAAAGCGCAUACCCUGUUAAGCUGAGUCCCCAUGCAUUUCAAGGCAGACAAAGAAAGCAAAUGUUAAUAUUAAUUGACAAACCAGUAAGGAAGAGUAAAGAUGAACAAAGAAGGAUAUCCAUUUGUUUAAUACUUAAAAGAAUAAAAGAAAAACAUCAAAGGCAUACAUUGCCAACAACCAC